rnacentral:misc_RNA from 1 species
GAUGAAGAACGCAGCGAAAUGCGAUACGUAAUGUGAAUUGCAGAAUUCAGUGAAUCAUCGAGUCUUUGAACGCACAUUGUGCCCCCUGGUAUUCCGGGGGGCAUGCCUGUCCGAGCGUCAUUGCUGCCCUCAAGCACGGCUUGUGUGUUGGGCCUCCGUCCUCCUCCCGGGGGACGGGCCCGAAAGGCAGCGGCGGCACCGCGUCCGGUCCUCGAGCGUAUGGGGCUUCGUCACCCGCUCUUGUAGGCCCGGCCGGCGCUUGCCGACACAUCAAUCUUUUUUCCAGGUUGACCUCGGAUCAGGUAGGGAUACCCGCUGAACUUAAGCAUAUCAAUAAGCCGGAGGA